rnacentral:rRNA from 1 species
UACGUAGGCAGCAAGCGUUGUUCGGAAUUACUGGGCGUAAAGGGUGCGUAGGCGGCUUUUAAGUUUGGUGUGAAAUCUCCCGGCUCAACUGGGAGGGUGCGCCGAAUACUGAGAAGCUAGAGUGUGGGAGAGGAAAGUGGAAUUCCGUGGUGUAGCGGUGAAAUGCGUAGAUAUCGGGAGGAACACCUGUGGCGAAAGCGGCGCACUGGACCACAACUGACGCUGAGGCGCGAAAGCUAGGGGAGCAAACAGG